UAGCCACUUUGAGUUACGAUAAUU
rnacentral:miRNA from 1 species